rnacentral:rRNA from 1 species
UACGGAGGGUGCGAGCGAUACCCGGAUUUACUGGGUGUAAAGGGCGUGUAGGCGGUCUCUCAAGUCCGAUGCUAAAGACCGAGGCUCAACCUCGGGAGUGCGUUGGAUACUGUGAGGCUAGACGGUCGGAGAGGGCAGCGGAAUUCUCGGAGUAGCGGUGAAAUGCGCAGAUACCGAGAGGAACGCCAAUAGCGAAGGCAGCUGCCUGGACGAUUUUUUACGCUGAGGCGGGAAAGCGUGGGGAGCAGACCGG